rnacentral:rRNA from 1 species
GUAAGGAAUAUUGGUCAAUGGGGGCAACCCUGAACCAGCCAUGCCGCGUGAAGGAUGAAGGCGUUAUGCGUUGUAAACUUCUUUUGUAUGGGAAGAAUGACAGGGAUUCAUCCUUGGAGAGACGGUACCAUACGAAUAAGCACCGGCUAACUCCGUGCCAGCAGCCGCGGUAAUACGGAGGGUGCAAGCGUUAUCCGGAAUCACUGGGUUUAAAGGGUACGUAGGCGGUUAAUUAAGUCAGUAGUGAAAGACUGUCGCUCAACGACGGAUGUGCUAUUGAUACUGGUUAACUUGAAUCAGGUUAGAGUUGGCGGAAUGGGUCAUGUAGCGGUGAAAUGCUUAGAUAUGACUUGGAACACCGAUAGCGAAGGCAGCUCACUAAGGCGAUACUGACGCUGAGGCACGAAAGCGUGGGGAUCGAACAGGAUUAGAUACCCGAGUAGUCC